AGUGAACGCUGGCGGUAGGCCUAACACAUGCAAGUCGAACGGCAGCACAGUAAGAGCUUGCUCUUACGGGUGGCGAGUGGCGGACGGGUGAGGAAAACAUCCGAAUCUACUUUUUCGUGGGGGAUAACGUAGGGAAACUUACGCUAAUACCGCAUACGACCUACGGGUGAAAGCAGGGGAUCUUCGGACCUUGCGCGAUUGAAUGAGCCGAUGUCGGAUUAGCUAGUUGGCGGGGUAAAGGCCCACCAAGGCGACGAUCCGUAGCUGGUCUGAGAGGAUGAUCAGCCACACUGGAACUGAGACACGGUCCAGACACCUACGGGAGGCAGCAGUGGGGAAUAUUGGACAAUGGGCGCAAGCCUGAUCCAGCCAUACCGCGUGGGUGAAGAAGGCCUUCGGGUUGUAAAGCCCUUUUGUUGGGAAAGAAAAGCAGCAGGUUAAUACCCCGCUGUUCUGACGGUACCCAAAGAAUAAGCACCGGCUAACUUCGUG
rnacentral:rRNA from 1 species